rnacentral:rRNA from 1 species
AUGAUGUGGAUUAAUUCGAUGCAACGCGAAAACCUUACCUACCCUUGACAUGCCAGGAACUUGCCAGAGAUGGCUUGGUGCCCGAAAGGGAGCCUGGACACAGGUGCUGCAUGGCUGUCGUCAGCUCGUGUCGUGAGAUGUUGGGUUAAGUCCCGCAACGAGCGCAACCCUUGUCAUUAGUUGCCAUCAUUCAGUUGGGCACUCUAAUGAGACUGCCGGUGACAAACCGGAGGAAGGUGGGGAUGACGUCAAGUCCUCAUGGCCCUUAUGGGUAGGGCUUCACACGUCAUACAAUGGUCGGUACAGAGGGUUGCCAAGCCGCGAGGUGGAGCCAAUCCCAGAAAGCCGAUCGUAGUCCGGAUUGUUCUCUGCAACUCGAGAGCAUGAAGUCGGAAUCGCUAGUAAUCGCGGAUCAGCAUGUCGCGGUGAAUACGUUCCCGGGUCUU